GUGGAAGUUUGGAAGAGUGAGAGCGAGGAGCCAAUGAUAUAACAUUAGCCCUAAUGUUGAAUGUUGAAUGUUGAUUUGUCAUGGUUUGCCAAAUCCCAAUCUAGAGUGAGGGCUAAACUAAUCUCGGAUCGAUACCUUGAUUCAGAAAACAGAGAAAGAAAGAGAAUAAGGCUAUCCCCAAUCCCAAGCAACAACCAUACGAAAUUACUCUCUUUCUUCUUCUUCUUCUCAAAAUCAAAUUCACCGGCCAUUACCAGUUGACCCUCAUCAUUGCCCUUUGAAACCAUAAAACCCAUAUGAAUCACAUGCUUUCCACCUCAUAGCUCCACUUAUAUUAUAUUUUUCUUUUCUUCAUUCUCCAUUCUCCAUUCCCCAUUCCCCAUUCCCCAUUACCAUGGUUUCCCUUUCCACCACCCUUUUCCUUUCCCUCACUGCACAAAACGCUUCCUCUAGAAUCCCCCCUCCCAAUUCCUUCCGUUACAACAACCACCGUAACAGGGAUCACAGGAAGGUUGUCUGUGCCUGCAUCGCACCCCCGCAAAACUUCAAGAGCCAGGACUCUUCCCCCAUUAAUUUCAAUGGUUUGUCUAAAUCAGAACAGUUGAGCACGGCGCGGGAUCAUGAGGAUGAUUCUGAUGUUCUGAUUGAGUGUAGAGAUGUGUACAAGUCUUUUGGGGAGAAGAAAAUUUUAAAUGGUUUAAGCUUCAAGAUCAGGCAUGGUGAAGCUGUUGGAAUAAUUGGUCCCUCUGGGACUGGUAAAUCUACAGUUUUGAAGAUUAUGGCAGGACUUCUUGCUCCGGACAAGGGGGAAGUUUAUAUUCGAGGUAAAAAGAGAGUUGGUUUAGUAAGCGAUGAUGACAUAUCUGGUCUUCGAAUUGGAUUAGUUUUCCAAAGUGCAGCACUUUUUGAUUCUUUGACUGUUCGUGAAAAUGUUGGUUUUCUCUUGUAUGAACACUCAACCAUGUCUGAUGACCAGAUAUCAGAGCUUGUCAAGGAAACCUUGGCUGCAGUUGGAUUGAAGGGAGUUGAGGAGCGGUUGCCCUCUGAGUUAUCAGGUGGGAUGAAAAAGCGAGUUGCUUUAGCUCGAUCUAUUAUUUGUGACACCACAAAAGAAUCAAUAGAGCCAGAGGUGCUCUUGUAUGAUGAACCAACUGCUGGACUUGAUCCCAUUGCAUCUACUGUUGUUGAGGAUCUGAUUCGCUCGGUGCACAUUAAAGGACAAGACGCACGUGGGAAACCUGGGAAUAUUACAUCUUAUGUGGUUGUUACUCAUCAACAUAGUACCAUUAAAAGAGCCAUUGAUAGAAUUCAUGUACCCUGAUAUGCAAAGUGACUUCACAAAUACAUACAGAUUAUUGUUUCUACACCAAGGAAAGAUUGUUUGGGAAGGAAUGACUCAUGAGUUUACAACUUCAACAAAUCCAAUUGUUCAGCAGUUUGCAUCCGGGAGUCUAGAUGGUCCUAUCAGAUAUUAGAACAGUAUUGCAAUUGUAAACUAGAAAAAAUGGAUUAUGGCUGGUCUUGGCUACCAUGGAGUGCAGAUAGGAAUGUGCAAUAAAUUUGUUGCAACAAGUAUUAAAGAGCUUGGCACCGUUUUGGUAUUACAUUCCAAUUUGACUUUUAUAGAAUUGGCCAUCCAAUUUGGAUUAGAAUCCGGGAAAGACAGGUUUUUUUCUUUUGGGUUAGAGAGCACCUUAUUGUUACUGAUGAUUAAAUUCUUUGGCAAUCGAAGCCAAAGGUGCAUGUUCCAUGCACACCAUAUGUUAGAAGAGAUUCGAUGUAUUAAUAUUAGUUCUGCGCGUAGUACUUGAUGUUCUAGCUUGUGUUUUUGUAAACAAUUCAAUAUAGUCAAUAAAUUUGCUUUAUUAUUUUAGA